AUUCCCGGUAACGGGGGCGCGCGGCCGGGGGCAGGUUGGGCCGGAAGAGGGGUCCGGGCCGGCACUGAGGCGGGGAGGGGUGGCAUCUUCCUUACUUUGUCCAUCCUCCGGACUCGCGAUCUUCCUUCCGGAGCCAUGUCAGAAGGAGUGGACUUGAUUGAUAUAUAUGCUGACGAGGAGUUCAACCAGGACCCAGAGUUCAACAAUACAGAUCAGAUUGACCUGUAUGAUGAUGUGCUGACAGCCACCUCACAGCCCUCAGAUGACAGAAGCAGCAGCACUGAGCCACCUCCUCCUGUUCGCCAGGAGCCAUCUCCCAAGCCCAACAACAAGACCCCUGCAAUUCUGUAUACCUACAGUGGCCUGCGUAAUAGACGAGCUGCCGUCUAUGUGGGCAGCUUCUCCUGGCAGGGUCAUCUGUGGGACGAGAUAUCAGAGUGAACACCUUGAACUCUUGGUGGUCAUUAGAUGGUCCUGUGAUAAUGUGGACCACAGACCAGCAGCUGAUCCAGGUUAUUCGCUCUAUAGGAGUCUAUGAUGUGGUGGAGUUGAAAUUUGCAGAGAA
rnacentral:sRNA from 1 species